AGCUUGUGAAUCAGUUGUCCUACUUUCACCUGCACUUUGAAUUCAGCAUGUCAGAUGCUGGCUGGGCUCCAGUGUCCUCUCAUACACCAUGGUGCGUGUCCUUUGAGAAAUUUGUUUUCCCCUCACCACACCAAAGAAUGUUUCACUUGUUUAUCAAGUCACAGCUGUGUUCCAGGUGGUGUUUCUAAUUUGUGUCAAAAACAAGGAAAAGAUGUGUCAACGACAGCAUUUUUUUUCCCAUUCCAGUGACAGGUUAGCACUCCAACUGUUGCUGAUCUGUUGGAAUUUCCUGUUUCCUCUUCCAUGGAAAUGUUUUCUCUUUUUGUAAGUCCAUUAAACCUCUUUCUUUUGUAAAUUGCCCAGUCUCAGUUAUGUCUUUAUCAGCAGCAUGAAUACAGACUAAUACAUCUCCCUUCUCAGAAAAAAAAUAAUAGUUAGAAACAUUUUUUCUCUCAAAGACAUUUUCUUAUUUAUAUAAAUUCUGUCUCUCAAUCAAAUCUGAGUGUCUUUAACAUUCUGUAAGAAGAUUUUUUUUUAAUACACUUUACCCAUUUGCAGUCCAAUUAUUAAUUUGACAGAAAAUCACUCAGGACAACAGAAAUUGAGCCCCUAACACCCACCAAAUAUUUAAAAGUAUAUAAUGUUACUAUGUGAAGAUACUCAACAAAUAUGGAACACAGUUUGUGAUUUCGAAAACUUUAUAACCUACAUUGGGAAGAUAAUAUUCAUUGGAUUUUAGAAUAAGAAAGGAUUAUAAGUCCACUAUUUUCUAGAUGGAUCAGGAAAUAGUCCACCAUCCCAAGAAUAAAAUAGAGGGCAGAAAAAGAUGGUUUGACCACCACAAAAUAAACUAAGUUCCCUUUCCUACUCUCCAAUGAUGUUAUGCUGCACAGAUGAUCAGCAGAGGCGAUUGUGGCAGAUCCUAGCGCAGGUCUCAUGUCGCUGGUCGUAGGCAUCUAAAAUAGGAAGGAGGAGUGCUGCAGAGAGGGCUCCUGCAUGCCCUCCAGCAUCGGAGGCAUGUGAAGGCUGCAGGAAGGGGUGGAACAGGCACUUUGAUGCAGAGGUGCCAAAGGGGUCUUAGAUCAACACACUCAAGCAAGUACAGUGAGAGCUGUGGAACUGUGACUCCUGGACCACAAAGUGAUCCAUCCACAAGAUGAUUUGAGAGGUUUAUAUCAUUUUGUCAUUUGUCGUUUCUGUUUUUUCAGAUAUGACUGGCAGUUACUAUGUGACAUAGCCAAAUCGAUCCAAAUGUAUUAUUAAGUAGCAUUUUUGUUAAUUAAACUUUUAAUUUUAGCUUUGCUGAAAUAUGCUUGUGGUGUGCUUUUUAUAGUCCUAGGAGUAGUGCAAAAGGAAAGCUCUGCCACCUGACAAUUUCCCAUGAAACUAAUGAUCUGUUGGUUGUACAUGGAUGCAAAUGCCACAAGAGCUUUUACUGCUAGAGGAGUGGGAAAUGGAAGAAAAGACCCAGAGAUGAGAGAAUACUAGAAUGGGAUGUAACAUCAUGGUACAUAUUUGAAUUAUUAAAAAGGAUUGAAAUACAUUGCAGCUGAGCCGCAAGGAUAUCAGAGGCCAACACCUACAGAGAAAAAUUCAAUAUUAAACAAGUGAUGGCAGCUUUAAGUUCAAUAGGCAUUGAGAAGUCUCUUUGGGCAGGGAGGGAGCAGAACAGGCACUGAUGAGGGUUAAUAUUCAGUGGAGGUAGAAAAGGCAAUCCGCUAUGAUCCAAGACAUUUUUUGCUCACCUGCUGGAUGAUAUUUAAAAUUUCUUUGACUUUAGUGUUUGGAAUUUUGCUUCAAUGCUUGAUUAAGCAUGUAUUUGUGGGUUUCAAUAGCCAUUCUUUUUCUCCGUACCAGACAGACGGGAGUGAAGCAGUCCCAUUCAGGAGGAGUACCACCAAACCAGUAACCAGAGACAUUCAUUAGGGUCUGCCUAGAUUUGAACAUGUUUGUAAUUAAUAACCUAGGAUGGCUAUUUUUAUGUGUCAACUUGACUAGGCUAUGAUACCCAGAUAUUUCAUCAAAAGCCAGUCUGGAUGUUGCUGUGAACAUAUUUUUUAGAUGAGAUUAACAUUUAAAUCAGUAGACUUUGAAUAAAGCAGAUUGUUCUCCAUAAUGUGGGUGGGCCUUAUCCAAUUAGUUGAAGGCCUUAAGAGAAAAAAAAAAAGACUGCGAUCUCCUAAGGAAGAGAAGAGUCUGUCUCCAGACUGCGUUCAGACUCAAACUACAAUGUCAACUCCUCCCUGUGUCUCCAGCCUGCUGGCUUUCCCUGUAAAUUUCAGACUUGCCAGCACCCACAAUCAUGUGAGCCAAUUCUUACUUUAAAAUCUCUCUCUCUCUCUACAGACACACACACACAUACACACACACACACACACACACACACACACACAUCCUAUUUGUUCUGUUGAUCUGGAAAACCCUGACUAAUACAUAUCCCCUAAAACCCCUUAGGGUUUAGAUCCAGAACUUGAAAUAAAAAGAAAUUUAUUUGAGUGAUGAGAACACAUGGACACACAGCGGGGAACAACACACACUGGGGCCUACCGGAGGGUGGAGGGUGGGAGCAGGGAGAGGAUCAGGAAAAAUAACUGAUGGAUACUAGGCUUAAUACCUGGGUGAUGAAAUAAUCUACACAACAAACCCCCAUGGCACAUGUUUACCUAUGGAAAAAACCUGCACAUCCUGCACAUGUACCCCUGAACUUAAAAUCAAAGUUAAAAAAAAAAGACACUUAUUUGAGUAUAAUAAACUCAGAGAUUCUGAGUAAAUAAUAACAUUUUGUUAAACAAUUUAAAUUAAACCUAAAUAACUGAUUAGAGGAACACUAAAAAUUUUUGAACUAAGUUUUGAAUAUGGGAUCCCAGCAACCCAAUCUUAUGAUCGGGAUUCAUGAUUAUUCUCUUUCCUUUUUACCUUUUUGUUUUAUGGUCUAUUGUCUUGUAAGUUUCUGAACUAAAACUGGUAGUCAGCUUUUGUGGAGGUUUUGCUAUCUCUCCAGAAAUUCCUUAUGCACUCCCUCUGCAUUCUGUCUCUUUCCCGACUAUUCUUUUCUUAGAAAGGAGUAUGUUGUAGUGAAAAGAUCAAGGUCUUUGAAGUAAAAACAAAAAAUGUUCAUUUGAAUCCUGGAUCUGAAGAAAACACCGGCUGUGGAAACUUGUCCAAGUCAUUUAACCUCUCUAAGCCCCAGUUUCCUCAUCCCUCAAGAUCCUCACAAAGAGAGUACUCAGAUUAAAUAAGGUAACAAAUGUUCAGACCCUAGUGUUUAUACAGGAAGGUACUGACUUCCAUGUGAGGUGACUGAAGCCUAGUGAACAAGCUUCUUGGUUUCUUUACUUAAAAAGUCCCUGAUCGUAAAAAUAUCAACAAACAUGUAAUUUAGAAAGCAGAGGACAUCUCUGCUAUCCUUGGCAGCUGCAAAGAAAGUCAGUCAAAAGGAAUAUAUUAUUUCGAUGUAGUCUAACUUCUAUAACAAACAACUCCCCAGUUGCAGCAGCUUGACAUAGUGAAACUGUUAUUUCUUGCUCAUGUCACAGCGCAGUGUGGGAGGAUGGAGGGACUCUGUUCCACAUUCAUUCAUGAACCCAGGCACCUUCAAUCUUGUGGCUCCACCCUCAUAUUGGCCCUUAAAGUUCUUUCAAGGUAGCUAAUGAGAAAAAAGGCAGAAAAGAGAACGUGAUGACCACACAAAGGAAGCGUAUGUAGGUUAUUUCUGCAAGUGGCACGUGUUGCUCCAGCUCAUAUCCAAUUGGCCAGAAUGCCACUGCAUAGCCUUACCUGGAACACGUGGUGUCUCCCUGUGCCCAGGGAGACAAAAACAACAAUGUUGGUGAACUUGGGCAUACAUUCAUCUCAAGAGCCAUAAAGGCCUGUUAGAUUAGAUUUGUUUGUUCUUAACUGUUUACUCGCCGUUACUCAUGCAUAUCCUUUGAUCUGUGUUCAGGCCUUUGAUUUUAUGUAAAUGCCUAGGCGUACACAUUUUCCUAUAAGCCGAACUUAAUAAUGAGAAAAGAGGUAGACCAGAAGUCUCUUAGUGUCUAAAGUAGAAACAAAAAGAUAGCUGUUAAGACAGAAGAUGAAAAAUAGAGAGGCUCAGAGUGCAAAAGGAAAUGAUACAUUUUUUGAGGUCUUUCCCGAUGGGACUUUUCUGUAGGCUGCACAUCAUUGGAAACGCCUCAUAGAGUUAACUCUGUGGUUUUACUUUACUCACAGGACUCUUGUUAGAUCUGUGGGAACUACAAGACAGUUGCUACAAGUAUGAAAAAGACUGUUACUAAAUAUAUGAAAGACCUGAUAAUUUACUUUUUUACCUUAUGUAUUGGCAUAUUCCACACUCUGCACUAUUCUUGAGUGUGAUCGCUUAGGAAUGAAUAUGAUUUGAACUCACUCAGGUUUAGAGAGGGUGUCACAUUGAGAACUAGGCAGAUCCACCUACACUAAAAAUGACCCUAAAGUAAAUUGGUUGAAGAAAUUAGAUCUUAAAGAUUCUUGAUUUUUCCAAAGGUAAAUUUUGAAAUCUUCAUCAGUAUAGCCAUAUUAAAAGGAGAUGACGACAGAUGCCAAAAAUCAAAGAAUUAUGGCCUGACAGGACAACUGCAUUAAAAUAAGCAUCAGUUUCAUUAAAAAGGGCUAACUUGAAGAUAAAUCUUUUGAAGAUAAAUUUUGACUCCAGCUCUUUAGAGGAUCUAAAGUGACCUCGAUGGACAGUGGAAGAACUUACAACAUGGAAUUCCUUGAAUAAAAAUCUAUUGACUUUAAAUAAUUUUGCCUAAUGUUACACACACACAGUUAAAACGAAAACACCUCUUUACACUGUCAAAAAAAGAAGAAGAAAAUGAUAGAUUUUCACAUUGCCCCAUUGAUGCCAUUAAAAAUCUAUAUAAUCACUAGAGUCAAGUAUUAGAAAUGCUAUCUUCUGUGGCCGCGUUCUCUUUCAAGGCCUAUUAGUCCCUAAAUUAUCUCCCUGGGCACAUGGCAACACUACAUGUUCCAGGUAAGGCUAUGUGUUGAGAAACAGUAGUGCUGGCUAAAGCCUCACAGUGAAAUUAACAUCCAGUGAAAUUAAUCUAUUUGCAGGCUGCAAAUGCCUAUAGCAGUUGAUGACUGUGAUGAAAAGUGCUUUCACUUUCAUGGACUAUUUCAAACUUCCAAGAGAAGUUAAGGUGGAAACAAACAUGAGCCAGACUCCCUAGUUCCCCAUCUCUUUUCCUUUCUUCUGGGUCUUAUCCACAUUCUGUACCCUGAAAAAGCCCAGAUCUUCUCCUGUACCUGCCCUAUGUGCUGUCUCCAACCAUCCUUAAAGCAAGGCCUCUGCCAAACACACAGAGUGAGGAGCCACCUAUAUGGCAUGAUGUUUGUCUUGACAUGAGUGGAGACCACAGAGGCUUCCCCACACUCCCUUUGCAGAUCUAUCAGCGUUCUCCUGUACAACUACAGUGCCAGGACACUCCAGUUUUAGCUGCGCGUUGGUGUAGGGCAUUGAAGGCCUCAUAAAAAUUACAGCUAUCUGACAGCACUGAUAGUCAAAGCCACUAUCUAUUAAGUGGUUACUAUAUGCUAGUGACUUUAUAUAUGCUAGGUUAUUAAUCCCACCACAACCCUAGCAGUAUUAUUACUUCCACUGAAAACUGAGUUUUAGUGAGGUUAAGCAAACAACCCAAGGCAGCAUAGCUAAUAAAAGACAGAGCCAGGAUUUAAACCUAAUUCCAUCUGACUCCUCCUACAUGAAACAAUUAUAGCAAACAUUUGUUGAAAGCUUACUACAUGCCAAUCAUUGUUCUGAGCUCCUUACUUGUGUUAACUCAUUUUUUCCCACAACAAUUCUAGGAAGCAAACACUGCUAUUGCCACCUUUUUGCAGAGGAAGGUACUGAGGUGAAGCGACUUGCCCAAACCCUACAAAAAGUAAGUGGUUAGAGCUGGGACUGCAAUCCAGAGCUCUCUGUAUUGAGACCAAUCCACUCUUUUUUUUUUUUUUUUCAUUCUUAUAUGUUUUAAUUGUAAAAUUUUCAAAAAUUCCUACUUCCAUGUCAUCACCUAGAUUUAACGACUAUUGACAUUUUGCUAUAUUUGCUUCAGUUUUUGUUGAAAUACUUUAAAAUAAGUUAACAUGUCAUAGUAUUUUACUCCUUAAUACUUCAGCGUGCAUCUCUAAAGAUGGAUUUUUUUUACAUAAUCACAAUAGCAUUAUCACACCUGAUAAAAUAUAUUACCAAUUCCCUAAUACCAUAUUCAAAAUUCUGUAAUUGUUCCAAAAGUAUCUUUUCUACAGUUGGUUUGUUCAAACUAGUAUCCUGCGAAAAAUCAUGAAUAACAUUUGCUAAUUAUAUAAUUCUAAAACACCUCCUUCCUACUCCCUUUUUGUACCAUGACAUUAAUUGCUAAGGAAUCAAGAUCAGUCUAUAGAAUGAUCUGCCUUCUGGAUUUGUUUAUUUCCUUGUGGUGCUGAUUAAGUUUUUCCUCUAGUUUCUGUGUUUCUUAUGAAGUGGAAACUUUAACUAAAGGCUUGAGUAGAUUCACUUUCAGCAAGAAUGCUUCAUAGAUGAUAUUGCAACUUCAUAUUGUACCACAUUUGGAUCUUCACAGUAACUGGCCAUUGCAUCAACAGCAGUGUCAAGAGCAUCAUAGCAUCGGAUGAUGAUGGACAGAUGCCUCUGCUGCAGAGUUAUGCCCCCGCCCCAACACUCAAUUGGCAAUCAUCUGGGGAAGUCUGUCACAAUGGUCCCUGUCCACCUUUCUUUUAGUGGUUUCAGCAUCUGUCAAAGGUUCUUAUUUGAAUUUCCAUCCUAUCAAGGGCUGCAAAAUGGUGACUUUCUGACCGUAUUAUUGCAUCUACAUUCACAGCUGACAUUCUUCAAUAAAGAAAAGUUUUCCUUCAUCAAGUAGAACUAUUUAGUUAUGCUGAAAUUCAGUAUCUUCUAGAAAGACAUUAAAUCUUUAAUUAUUUUUAAUUCUCAAUUCUCAGAAUAACCAAUUCAUGUAAUAAUCACCUCCAGUGAUGGCAAAUGAGUUUUGUUUUGGAAGACAUUCUCUUUUCUAGUUAUGUACUUGCGGAGUUUUAUAUAUUCAUAGUCAUUUUUAAAUGCUCAGGUUGUCUCACACUUGCCACUGUAUACUCUUCAACUAGAAUGCUACUUAACCCAGAUUAAAAUCCACGUUUCCCGUGUAGUAACUGAGUGACUCUUGCUUCUGUGCCUCUGUCUCUCAGAAAUAAAACUGGAAUUCAAAAUUCUAUAGAGCUUAUAAGAUGGUUGUAGUAAUUAAAUGAGACAGGUCAGCUACCAGGCUUAGCGAAGGCCAUAAACAAAGAAAGAAUGUGACAAAUGUUAGUUGCUCCUAUUUUCAUAUCAUCACCAUCUAAUGCUAAGUCUUCACUAGGGAAGGAAUUAGGGUCUGGAGAUGCGGUGGUAAAGGGAAGAGCAAGGGUCUCAAAUGCUUUAGAGAGAAGAUUCUCACCCAGAACAGUGACACAUGAGGGCUUUGCAGGGCCAGGAACAGGUAAAGAAACUAGGAACCUGGUGAAGGGAAGAAGGCAGGAGGCAGAAUAAAAUAUUCCUGGAAAAAAAUUAUUUUUGUUUGUUUCACAGUUUUCUCAGGGCCUAUUCUAUUCCAAGAUAUCGAAAAGAAUGCUGGUGAAACUAGAGCUAAGUGGCUGUCUCAGAACCUACCAGAGUAGAGAGGUCAGGUCAUUUCUAGGCUUCAGGUGGCUUGUCCACCUGUCCUGCCAGCCCAGUCUCAGUUUGGGCAUUAGCUGAUGGGCUAAGCUGCUUGUUUCAUGCUGGUCUGUAAGAAGAGCUUACAAGUGGGAAGACAAGUUCAGCAUCAUCUUCAAAUGACAAUGGUCAUAUGAAAUACUAAAGAUAGUUUCCUGUAAAAACCUCCCACAGAAACGAAAAGUUUUUAAAUAAAACAUGUCAUCCAAAAUUGUAAAGUGAGAAAGAUUGUUUUCAUCUCAUGUCUUUGAAUUGUAUUGUGAGAGGUAUUGGUCUUCUUCCACCAAUCCAAAGUUAAGGACAAAUAAAUUUCAUUGUAUCGGAAACUUUGGAGGAAAAAUUUGAUGCUAUUAUUUUCCUUCCAUGGAAAUUUUAUUCUGGGGAUAUAUUUCCGUAGCAAAUGCAUAGUAGUUGCCAAAGAAACAAGUUAAUAGUAGGCUUGAUAAGAGGGAUUUCUUAAAAUGAAGAGCCGUUUUAUCCUCCCCACCAUGUCUUUCCCUUUCAGAAUACUUGCUGACUCACCCCAGCCUCCCAGAACAUAAACGACGGUGUUAUAGCCACGAAAUCCUACAAAAACCACUUCACUUCCGAGCAUGUACACACAUAUAUGUGUGCGUGGAAUGUGCGCAUGUGUGUUUAGGGGGUGGAAGUAAGGGCUUUCCUUCUUUCUCUUUUUAUUCUCUUUUUUUUUUUUCAGACAGAGUCUUACUCUAUUGCCCAUGCUGGAGUGCAAUGGCGCUAUCUCCGCUCACUGCAACCUCCGCCUCCCGGGUUCAAGCGAUUCUCCUGCCUCAGCCUCCCAAGUAGCUGGGAUUACAGGCACCCACCACCAUGCCCGGCUAAUUUUUGUAUUUUUAGUAGAGACGGGGUUUCACCAUGUUAGCCAGGCUGGUCUCAAACUCCUGACCUCGCUAUCUGCCCGCCUCAGCCUCUCAAAGUGCUGGGAUUACAGGUGUGAGCCACUGGGCCUGGCCUAUCUUUUUAUUCCUUAAUAAAAAAUGUUUGUUUCCUCACAACUUGACAGGAACUGGCUCUGAGAUUUACAGAAAUAACUGAAGGGAUAUCGCUCAUGCAAAUUAUCCUGCUUCUUCAUUAGCUGUGGUGCUCACAACAGCCAAAGCUCUCCGUCCUCCCUCUUUUUAGGUCAUGUUAGGCUUUCCUUUAUAAUCAUAUUCAGUGGACUAGCAUGCCUCAGUAGAAUGUUGAGUGACUUGAAAAAUACUUGGCUACCAGACAAGAAAGUAAAACAAAAGCUACGUGUGUAACGUUUAACAAAGGAACAUUCAGAAUCUUCCCUCUGGGAGAAACAAAGCAGCAAAGAACACCCUCGUCCUCCUCUCCCAAAUAAAAACUGGGAGAAAACAUCCUGGAAAAUAAAUGCCAACACCAGAAGCCAGUUACUAGGAAGAAACAUGAUGAAGUUUUAAACCAUUUACUCUCAUUUUGUUCUUUUAAACCAAGGCCACUAAUAACCUCAGAAAUGUCGACUGAUUAUCUUCUUUCUGCUUGGUUGGUAUAUCUGUACCAAAAUGUUCAGAUGGAAGGUAAACAAAGGCCUAGCAGCUCAGAUUUUUUAAAAUUUGAACUGGAACUCAUUUAUUUGUAUUUCAAAAUUCCGAGGCAGAUUACCUGGAAGACAUCCAAAACCUCAGAAGCCAAAAGUUCUGCCAAGCAUUUUUCAGCUUGGUAAUCGGUAAUAUAAUACAGCCAGAUCAUUAAAGAAAUCCUGUUCUGAAUUCCCUUGAAGUUUCUAAGGCAAAGUUUAAACAAAAAUUAUUUCCUUCAGAGUCUCCUAUGCAUGAUAAGUUUCCAUCUGUGCAUAAGGAAACAGCAUAGUAGAUUAGACACCUUGACUAAGAACAAAUAAACACAACAAAAAUAAACGUACAUUGCAUUUCUCUCUAGACCUGCAUGGCUGUGUAUUCACAAAGCAAAACAUUGUAUAUCUUUCGUCUCUUAGGAAGAAGUUGUUUAUUACUCCUUUGCUUUGUCAUGGCCAUCUUGCUCAUUUACUUUUCAAUAAUCACAUAUUGAAAACCCACUCUGAAGAAGGUGCUGUGCCAGACACCAUGUAAAGAGACAAAGAUGUAGAUACACAGACUCUGCGCAUGUGGGGCAUAAUAUAUAGUGGUGGGGAGGAGGAGAAGAUAUAUACAGAUAGGUAUUAAACCAGGUGGAAGGUGUUGGGAAAAAGUACCUUAGGAAAGGCAAGAUGAGAUGCUCUGGAUGUCCGGAGAAAGGUAUGUUAAUUAGAAUGAAGAGGUCAGGAGAGAUUUCAGGAAGGAGGUGGAAUGAGAGCUGCAUCAUGAAAGGAAGGUGGGAUGUGGACAAAGUGGAGAAGGUCUUAGAGUACCAUGGUGCUUCAUCAAGUGCCUUGUUGCCUAAAGUGUUCUGCUUCUUUCCAACCUGUGUCACGUGUAAGUCCAUUUAUACACUUAAACCAAAACUGAGUACAUGAGAACAUAUAUUUCUCACCCACACAUUAAAAUCAAGUUGAGGCCGGGUGCAGUGGCUCAUACCUGUAAUCCCAGCACUUUGGGAGGACAAGGUGGGCAGAUCACUUGAGGUCAGGAGUUCAAGAGCAGCCUGGCCAACAUGGUGAAACCCCAUCUCUAUUAAAAAUACAAAAAUUAGCAGGGAGUGGUGGCAGGUGCCUGUAAUCCCAACUACUCAGGAGGAUGAGGCAGGAGGAUCACUUGAACCUAGGAGGCGGAGGUUGCAGUGAGAUCGUGCCACUGCACUCCAGCCUGGGCAAUAGAGCGACGCUCUGUCACUAAAUAAAUAAAUAAAUAAAUGAAACGAAGUUGAAUAUUAUCUCACAGUUCUAUACAAUCACAGUUUGCUUUUUAUGCUGCUAUUUAUUUUUUCCAUCUAAGUUGUCUUAGUGCACCAUCUCCUUAAAUUAACUACCAGAAAACAGGUGAAACCCAUGAAACCUAGUGUUUUAGUGGAGCCAUCCACUACUCAAGACCAAUGUGGGAACCGCAGUCUGAAUUAUUUGACCUCAUCAAUAAGCACAUUCCCACUUUGCCUAUGAAGGGUGCUUAUAGUAAAGAAUCAUCUCUUAGCCACUGUUCCACUGUGUCAAUCUAUGGAAAAAUCAAAACGCACUUACUGCACUGUGCCAGGUGCUGGAUUUAUAACCACAAAAACAGAGGGGCAGAAUGUCUGCAUUUCCAGUGGGCAAGACAGACAAUGUGCCUAUCUGUGCAUUUCCUUGUAAAAUCCAGCUUUCGCAAGAGCAUGAACAAAUCAGUUUGGCAAGACCUCCCCACCCUCAACAUCUGAUCACGUGUCUCAUCCUCCAUGAUGCCACAGGCUUGGCUGAAUAGAAAAUGAAC
rnacentral:lncRNA from 1 species